rnacentral:rRNA from 1 species
AUUGAACGCUGGCAGUAGGCCUAAAACAUGCAAGUCGAGCGGAGCGGCGGACGGGUGAGUAAUGCCUAGGAAUCUGCCUGGUAGUGGGGGAUAACGCCCGGAAACGGGCGCUAAUACCGCAUACUAUCAGAUGAGCCUAGGUCGGAUUAGCUAGUUGGUGGGUUAAAGGCCUACCAAGGCGACGAUCGGUAACUGGUCUGAGUUGAUGAUCAGUAACACUGUGACUGAGCCACGGUCCAGACGCCGACGGGUGGCAGAAGUGGGGAAGGUUGGACAAUGGGCGAAAGCCUGAUCCAGCCAUGCCGCGUGUGUGAAGAAGGUAUUCGGAUUGUAAAGUACUUUAAGUUGGGAGGCGGUACCAACAGAAUAAGCACCGGCUAACUUCGUGCCAGCAGCCGCGGUAAUAC